rnacentral:lncRNA from 10 species
UGCAGAUGUAUGCAGCAACAGGGUGUCCAUCGCGCUUCCUUCACUGCCUUGAUCAUGUCGGGGUCACCACCUGCGGGGGUUUGUCCUGCAGACCCUGACUCAACGACGGAUGAAUAAUGUACACUGACACAGAUCUUAUGCUUGUCAGUCCUGCUGAGCAUCCAGGCCACUUACAGACUCCAAGAAGAGUCCUGUCAGCCACGGCUCUGACUUGUUGGCCCUCCCGGCAUUUAUUUAGCACACAUUUAAUGACAGAAGUCUCAGGCUGGAAACACUCUUUUUGUAGAACAUACAAAUGGACAUUUCUAAGCACAUUGAGGCCUAUAAUGAAAAAUCAAAUAUCCCACAAUGAAAACUAGAAGGAAGCUAUCUGUGAUAAUGCUUUGUGGUGUAUGGAUUCAUCUCACUGACUGAAACCUGAGUUUUGAUUCACCAGGUUAAAAACGCUCUUUUUGUAGAACCUACAAAAAGACAUUUCU